rnacentral:rRNA from 1 species
ACCGCGGGGGUGCGAGCGUUAUCGGAUUUACUGGGCGUAAGCCGUGCGUAGGCGGCUUAUUAAGUCGGAUGUGAAAUCCCCGAGCUUAACUUGGGAAUUGCAUUCGAUACUGGUGAGCUAGAGUAUGGGAGAGGAUGGUAGAAUUCCAGGUGUAGCGGUGAAAUGCGUAGAGAUCUGGAGGAAUACCGAUGGCGAAGGCAGCCAUCUGGCCUAAUACUGACGCUGAGGUACGAAAGCAUGGGGAGCAAACAGGAUUAGAUACCCUGGUAGUCCAUGCCGUAAACGAUGUCUACUAGCCGUUGGGGCCUUUGAGGCUUUAGUGGCGCAGCUAACGCGAUAAGUAGACCGCCUGGGGAGUACGGUCGCAAGACUAAAACUCAAGGGAAUUGACGGCG